rnacentral:rRNA from 1 species
GUGAGGAAUAUUGGUCAAUGGACGAGAGUCUGAACCAGCCAAGUCGCGUGAAGGAAGACGGUUCUAUGAAUUGUAAACUUCUUUUGUGCAGGAAUAAAGUGGGUUACGUGUAACCUUUUGUAUGUACUGUACGAAUAAGGAUCGGCUAACUCCGUGCCAGCAGCCGCGGUAAUACGGAGGAUCCGAGCGUUAUCCGGAUUUAUGGGGUUUAAAGGGUGCGUAGGUGGAUUGAUAAGUCAGCGGUGAAAGUUUGCAGCUUAACUGUAAAAUUGCCGUUGAAACUGUCGGUCUUGAGUGCAAAUGAGGUAGGCGGAAUGUGUUGUGUAGCGGUGAAAUGCUUAGAUAUAACACAGAACUCCGAUUGCGAAGGCAGCUUACUGGGAUGCAACUGACACUGAUGCACGAAAGCGUGGGUAUCAAACAGGAUUAGAAACCCGGGUAGUCC